rnacentral:lncRNA from 1 species
AUGCCUCGCCCUGUGUGUGUCCGGGAUGGGUCUGCUUUGGUGCACUCCGACUUCUCCCUAAAAGCCCAGGGCGGGGAGACGGACGCCCUCCCGAGAGCCUCAGGACUGCCGGCCCCUCCCGCCCGCCUCGCGCCUCCCGCGCCUCGGAGGCCGCCGCCGCGGAGAGGCUGGCACAGCACGGUGGGCAGCGGUCCCCGCCGGGCAGGCCCCGCCCCCGGCUCCCCGGCCCCGCCCCCGGGCUCCCGUGGGGCGCCGCGGCUUCCGGCUGUGGGCCGCGCGGGCCGGAAGUAUAGCGUUGCCAUGGCGAGGGCCGGGCGCGGGACCCGCCCCCCCGGCGCCCAGAGGAGCGCGGGGCGGCGGGAGCGGUGGCCGGGAUCCGGCCGGCUGCGCGGCGGAAGGUGCGGCGCGGACUUCCGGGGCUCGCGGCGGGGGAGGGCGGGGGCGCGGGGUGCCCCCGGGUCGGGCGCGGCCGAUGUGCCUGCGGACUGGUGGUUCCUGCGACCUGCGGGUCAGGUAGGCAGGGCGGCGGGGGCUCAGGCCGGCGGGGCGGGGCGGUGCCCGGGCUUCGUGCGGGCUUCGGGCUUGGGCCAGGCGGGGAGCCGGGCGGCCGCGCGUCUCGGGGGAGGCGAGCGUGGCUCCGGGCCGCUGGGGACGUGCAGGCCCCGGGGCAGGGGCGGAGGGCGCGGACGGCCGUGCCGGGUUAGCGACGCCGCAGGAAGGCCGCCUCCCGGGGGUGCAGCGCCUGCCGGGGCCCAGCGGCCAGGCCCCGUGGGUGCUCCGCUGGGUGCCGGGGUGCUCCUGGCUGUGCUGCCUCGUUCACUUCAGGGACCGCGAGGGCGCCCCAGCCGGGGUGUCGAGGAGCCGCGGUGCCCGAAGCAGCCUGCGCAGAGGCCACGCCGGGCUCCUCAGCCCUGUCCCCAGGCUCUCGGCCAGAGCUGCGGUGCGGAAGCUUUAGGGGGUCCUUCCUUGCCUCCUUCCCUCCCUGUGCACGGGCUGGCCUUCCUCUUGGUGGCUGGAGCCUCCUCCCCGGCUCUGCUGCUCCGUCCUGGCCUCGUCUCCCACCUGGCUGGGCUGCGCCUAGACUUUGCCCUCUCCUGCCAGCAGGAGGCUGGCGGGCACUAG